rnacentral:rRNA from 1 species
UACGGAGGGUGCAAGCGUUAUCCGGAUUCACUGGGUUUAAAGGGUGCGUAGGCGGGUUGGUAAGUCCGUGGUGAAAUCCCCAAGCUUAACUUGGGAACUGCCGUGGAUACUAUCAAUCUUGAAUAUCGUGGAGGUAAGCGGAAUAUGUCAUGUAGCGGUGAAAUGCUUAGAUAUGACAUAGAACACCAAUUGCGUAGGCAGCUUACUACACGAUCAUUGACGCUGAGGAGCGAAAGCGUGGGGAGCAAACAGG